ACUUAACUUCUGGACAUCAUGGAAGAUUGGCAUUUUCCUUUUCCCUUAUCAAAAUUCUUCCUAACUGGAUGGCCUGCACUGCAAACUAGCUUCCCCAUCUCUGGCUGUUAUGGCUUCACAAACUUUGCUUAUAAGGAGUAAGUAGAUCCAUCCUAAACUGAAACAAAUAGAUCGCUGCUGCUUCUUCUGAAGAAAAAAAGGGAGAACAGCUAGAGAAAUACAGUGGAGCUAGGACUAAAAGGACUUGCUGAUGAAUUCCAUAUGGAAAUUAGAAGAAGGCUAGUUUAUAAAUAUGUUAAGUAUUCUAUGGAUUAUCUAUAAAUUCUAAUGGCAACAUAUUAACUGGGUACUUUUAAAUUCUUCCUUGAAUGUUCAUAAAUUAAAAAGUUAAUAUCUACUGGGAUAGCUGGGUUUAUUUUGGUCUUUUUGUAAAAUUAAAAAGUGAAAAAAGAACAACAGAAAAGGAUUUUUAACAGAAUAAUAAUCCCAGCCUAAUAAUUGCUCUUGAAGACCUUACACGUGUCCUUCAUCCUAAGGGAAAUUCCUGCUUUUCUGGCCUUUUCAGUUCACAAAGAAUAAAUGUCCAGAAGCAGAGAUAUUAUGUAGAAUUUUUUCAAGUUAGGAGAGUGAUGAAAGGAAUACAGGAACAUCGCUCUCUAGGCUUUCCUUAUUGCUCAUGCACAUUUCUGUGGAAUUUAAUGACCUCAAGAAAAGCAGAUGAUUUUCAUGUAACUUCAUUUAAAAUAAACUUAAUCUACACCAGUGUGUCCUUCAACUUAAUGCACACAUAAAUUACUUGGAGGUUUGUGGAAAUGAAGAUUCUGACUCAGGAAGUCUGGGUGGGCCCAAGAUUCUGCAUGUCUACCAAGCUCUCAUCUGGCCCACAGACCACACGGGAACAGGAAGGGUCUCGGCCUCUCUCCGCAUAGGCAUUUUCCCUGCUCUUAAUGGCUUUUAUGUUUUAGUGUUUCAGUAAACCCAACCAGUAAACUCAUUGGAGCAGCUGACUUAUUAAAACACACUUGGUAAGAAGAAGAAACAAAUAAGGAAUAUAUUUUUCCUCUGGAAAAAAUAUUUCUGGAUUUACAAUUCUCUUUCCAUCCUUGGUCUGAGAAAGCCUGGCAUAUUGAUUGUUUUCUGGGGUUCUUUACCCUAAUGACUCAGAUUCUAAUUACAUUCCAAAUUAUGACUAUUUCCCUAAAUAUUCCCAGCUGCUUUCAAGAUGAACUCUAUAACAUCACUAGAAAAAGACUCUCUGUGGCCUUUUUUGGAAAAAUCUAAAAUAUGAUCCCAAAUAGCUUUUUAAAAACAUGUGAUGUUCAGAAGACCACAGAAUUUUAGGGUAUCUUUUCAAGUCAGCAUUAAUCAUAUAUGGUUUUGUUCUGAAAGCAUUUCUUUCUAAAUGACAUACAUUAAAAAAAGCACAUAUCAAUUGAGACAAGAUAUUGGCACAGGAGAGGCUAUAACUCAGAAACCUUAUCUGAGAAUGACAGUUUAAUAUGUUUUUGUCUCAAUAAUAGUUACUGUAUAUUAUCAAACUAGUUACAAACCAAAAUGGAGGGCCCACUGGGUGUCCAACCUGUGGCCUGUGGACUGCAUUCAGCCCAGAAUGGCUAGGAAUGUGGUCCAACACACAAUUGUAAAUUUACUUUAAACACCAUGAGAUGUUUUUGUGAUUACAUGUUGCAAUGUAUUUAAUGUGUGGCCUAAGACAACUCUUCUUCUUCCAGUGUGGCCCAGAAAUGCCAAAAGGUUGGACAACAAGCUAAAGUACUAAGUUGCAAGUGCCAGAAUAUUUGCACAUAAAAUUGAAGUAAAAAUUAUUUAAUCAAAAAUGUAUUUUAUACAAAUUACUACUUUAUGAAUACUCAGAAUAUCAUGAACACAAAUAUGACUUUUGAAAACCUUAUUACCCCUCAAAGUAUGGUAAUUCUAAAGAUGUACUAUUACCUAAUUAUUGAAAUGUCAUUCUAGUUGGGUAUUUACAAAAAAUAUAUUGCAUCAAGUUAAGUAUUUACUCAGCUGAAAACAUGGCAGCAAGACAUCCUUCCUGCUAUUAUGCAAUUAUGCAUCUUUUUCUAAGAGCUCUUCAAUUUCUGACCCUUCUACAUUUUAAUGUGUUAUUUUAUAGCCUUGGCUGGUGUGGCUCAGUGGAUUGAGUGCCGGCUUGUGAACCAAAGGGUCAUGGGUUCCAUUCCCAGACAGGGCACAUGCCUGGAAUGCGGGCGGGUCCCCAGUAGAGAGUAUGUGUAAGGCAACCACACAGUGAUGUUUCUCUCCCUCUCAUUCUUUCUCCCUUCCCCUCUGUCUAAAAAUAAACAAAUGAAGUCUUGAAAAAUAAUAUUAUUUUAUAUGUACAAAUUAUAUGUAAUAUGAAUAAUGUAUGAAACAUUUCCAAUACCUAUGAAUUGGUGAACUCCAGAAAAGUUAGAAAAAUACCAUACCUUUGUCUACUUUACUUAUCUAUCUUCUCCUCAGAGGUAACCUCUAUGCAGAAUUUUGAAAUUAAUGAUUCUGUUAAAAAUAGUUUAACACAGGACCAUAUGAAUUGAAAUAAGAUAUUAUUUAUUCGCUUUUUGAGUUUUAUUAAAAUGGUUUCAUAAUGUAUAUGUCUAGCAUUUCCUACUUGAUAUUGUUUCUGAGAUCAUACAUAUUAAUGUCAGCAGGUUAUUUCUUUUUACUGUUAUGUAAUAUUGACUUGAGAAUAUAUAAAAAUUUGUUCUUUUGUAAGUGGGCCUUUAAUUUCCUAGAUUUUUAUUGUUGUUAUGAAAUAUGCUUCUCUCAACAUUCUAGUGAAUUUCUCCUGAUGCACAAAUAAAGAGAUUUUUUUAGGUUGUAGAUAUUUUGGAAUUGAAUUGCUGGGUCAUAGCAAAUGAUCAUCUUUUCAAAAUAAUACCAAGUUAUUUUCCACUGCACAAUUGUAUAGUCCCACAAACAAUGUGUAUGAAUUCUCAUUGGUCCAUAUCUUCUCUUGU